rnacentral:rRNA from 1 species
UGGGGAAUAUUGGACAAUGGGCGAAAGUCUGAUCCAGCCAUGCCGCGUGUGUGAAGAAGGCCUUAUGGUUGUAAAGCACUUUAAGCGAGGAGGAGGGUACUGGUAUUAAUACUACCAGCUACUGGACGUUACUCGCAGAAUAAGCACCGGCUAACUCUGUGCCAGCAGCCGCGGUAAUACAGAGGGUGCGAGCGUUAAUCGGAAUUACUGGGCGUAAAGCGUGCGUAGGCGGCUAAUUGAGUCGGAUGUGAAAUCCCCGAGCUUAACUUGGGAAUUGCAUUCGAUACUGGUUAGCUAGAGUGUGGGAGAGGAUGGUAGAAUUCCAGGUGUAGCGGUGAAAUGCGUAGAGAUCUGGAGGAAUACCGAUGGCGAAGGCAGCCAUCUGGCCUAACACUGACGCUGAGGUACGAAAGCAUGGGGAGCAAACAGG